UUUCCGUAGGUGAACCUGCGGAAGGAUCAUUAUCGUAUAAUAGAGGUGCGAGUGCUGUCGCUGACCCGAAUGGAAGAGCACGUUCGAGUGCCUUACAUCACAACCAUCUCACCCCUAAGUUCACCACCUCGUGGGACACCCCUAGGCAUGUACGGUGGGCUGCUUACUUUUUCACCCAAACUUUGUAUGUAGUGUAGAAAGUAUUUUUUGUCUUUGCGUUUACGCUAUCUAUACGUCUUUCAACAACGGAUCUCUUUGCUCUCGCAUCGAUGAUGACGG
rnacentral:misc_RNA from 1 species